UUUAGUUGUGUUGAUUUCAAAAAAAAGGCAGAGAAAAGUUGCUUAAUGUAGAAUUCAGCAAAAGAACGAUCUCGCUUGAAGUAGGCUGGUACACCAGGAGGGAGGGGGGAGGGUGGAGGGGAGAUGGGAAGGGAAGGGAGGGUAGGAAAGUGAUGCUUUGGGGUAGGAGACGGGGAACAAUGAGGUGGAGGAGAAGGAAAGGGAGAGGAUGAAGGGGAAGACAGGGGGAGAUCUGGAGGAGGAGAGGAGGCACAUGUUAAAGAGAGAGAGGGGAGAGGAGGGGAGUGAAAAGGAGGAGAAAGGGGGAUAUGAGCUGGCAAAGGUGGAAGGGAAUAAGGAGAUGGGAAGGUGGGAGAGGAAGGAGUAGAGGUGGAGAGGGAUAGGCGCGAAGGCCCAAGAGCGAGAGCAGAAAUAGAUGGAGAUGGAGGAGACGAGGGCAGAGGGAGGGCCGACUCAGGAAAGUGAUGAGGAAUAAACGGGUGAGGAGAGAAGAAAGAGGAGCAGCUAGAAGGGCUUCGAGGGGAGGAGGGGAGAGAUGGGGAGUUCGGCUGGGUUAAAAAGCAAGGGUGAAGAGGAGCGACAGGCAGGAAGUAAAGGAAAGGUGAGGAAGGGGGAGAAGGACAGUGAAAGAUGGAGGGAGAAGAGGCAGGAGGAGGGGAGGGGAGAGAGGAAGGGGUGAGGUGGCUUGGCUCGAAGGGGGGAGACGAAGGAAAGACGAAGGCAGGAGGGGUAUAGAGAGGGCAUUCCGGCCGGGGCGUUUGAGGACUCAGAGGGAACGUAGGAGAUCUAAGAAGCUUUGGAGCUACUAAAAUAAACACACCUCACCAGAGACAAAAGAAGAACAAACAGACAAAACUCAGCUGAAAAGACACACAAAAGAUGACGUAAAAUGUGGUCGAUGAAGACGUAAUGUUUCAGAAGCUGCAAAAGCAAAGACUCAUGGGAUUGCGGGUCCCGCGGUUGAUGAGCAAGAAUAGGCGGGAACAGUGAAAAGCAGAAUAGCUUCCUUUCCAUCAGUGGACUAAAGGCUCCAUUCCGGCUUCAGAACAGGUUUGGGGGAUAAAAUAAAUCUGAAGUUGGUUGAGUUAGGAACUAAGAAGAAGCUGAAUGAGAAAUAUAUAUAUAUAUAUAUAUAUAUAUAUAUAUAUAUAUAUUUGGUUAAAACGCAAGUAGGCUUUACAGAUGAACUUGCUCCGUACGCGACUUGUGUGCUUCAGCCGGCCUGAGCUCAGCGGCGAGGGUCAAAGCGAAGCCGGAGCCGGGGGGGCGCUGAGGCGUAAAGCCGAGUCACUGGUGGAAACUAGCUGGUUAGUGGCUGCUGAGCGCCGAGGAGGGGAAUCGGCUGCAGGAGUUAGUCGCUGAGAAGCAGGAGAAGCAGGAGAAGAGGAGGCGUGAGGCAGUCUGCUGGGCUCAAGGCAGGAGAAGCUGCAGAGGAGCGUAGAAGCUGGGAGGCUCAGGGUGGGCGGUGGGUUGGGACACCCUCCCCCCCC
ensembl:lncRNA